UACGGGGGGAGCAAGCGUUGUUCGGAAUUACUGGGCGUAAAGGGCUCGUAGGUGGCCAACUAAGUCAGACGUGAAAUCCCUCGGCUUAACCGGGGAACUGCGUCUGAUACUGGAUGGCUUGAGUUCGGGAGAGGGAUGCGGAAUUCCAGGUGUAGCGGUGAAAUGCGUAGAUAUCUGGAGGAACACCGGUGGCGAAGGCGGCAUCCUGGACCGAUACUGACACUGAGGAGCGAAAGCCAGGGGAGCAAAGCGGG
rnacentral:rRNA from 1 species